UACGGAGGAUCCAAGCGUUAUCCGGAUUUACUGGGUUUAAAGGGUGCGUAGGCGGGUAGGUAAGUCAGUGGUGAAAUCUCCGAGCUUAACUCGGAAACUGCCUUUGAUACUAUUUAUCUUGAAUAUUGUGGAGGUAAGCGGAAUAUGUCAUGUAGCGGUGAAAUGCUUAGAUAUGACAUAGAACACCUAUUGCGAAGGCAGCUUACUACGCAUAUAUUGACGCUGAGGCACGAAAGCGUGGGGAUCAAACAGG
rnacentral:rRNA from 1 species